rnacentral:tRNA from 1 species
AGGCUUGUUCGGGAUUUGAACCCGGGACCUCUCGCACCCUAAGCGAGAAUCAUACCCCUAAAUCAACGAGCC